CUGAGUUUGAUCCCUGGCUCAGGAUGAACGCUGGCGGCGUGCCUAAUACAUGCAAGUCGAGCGAAUGGAUUAAGAGCUUGCUCUUAUGAAGUUAGCGGCGGACGGGUGAGUAACACGUGGGUAACCUGCCCAUAAGACUGGGAUAACUCCGGGAAACCGGGGCUAAUACCGGAUAACAUUUUGAACCGCAUGGUUCGAAAUUGAAAGGCGGCUUCGGCUGUCACUUAUGGAUGGACCCGCGUCGCAUUAGCUAGUUGGUGAGGUAACGGCUCACCAAGGCAACGAUGCGUAGCCGACCUGAGAGGGUGAUCGGCCACACUGGGACUGAGACACGGCCCAGACUCCUACGGGAGGCAGCAGUAGGGAAUCUUCCGCAAUGGACGAAAGUCUGACGGAGCAACGCCGCGUGAGUGAUGAAGGCUUUCGGGUCGUAAAACUCUGUUGUUAGGGAAGAACAAGUGCUAGUUGAAUAAGCUGGC
rnacentral:rRNA from 1 species